UAGACCAAUGAUGAGUAUCCUCUGGUGUCUGAAUCAAGAAUUUUGAUUAAGCCCUAUAAUUCUGAGAUCCAU